rnacentral:rRNA from 1 species
AUUGAACGCUGGCGGCAGGCUUAACACAUGCAAGUCGAGCGGGGUGAUGGUGCUUGCACUAUCACUUAGCGGCGGACGGGUGAGUAAUGCUUAGGAAUCUGCCUAUUAGUGGGGGACAACAUCUCGAAAGGGAUGCUAAUACCGCAUACGUCCUACGGGAGAAAGCAGGGGAUCACUUGUGACCUUGCGCUAAUAGAUGAGCCUAAGUCGGAUUAGCUAGUUGGGGGGGUAAAGGCCUACCAAGGCGACGAUCUGUAGCGGGUCUGAGAGGAUGAUCCGCCACGCUGGGACUGAGCCACGGCGCAGACGCACACGGGGGGCAGCAGUGGGGAAUAUUGGACAAGGGGGGGAACCCUGAUCCAGCCAUGCCGCGUGUGUGAAGAAGGCCUUAUGGUUGUAAAGCACUUUAAGCGAGGAGGAGGCUCUUUUGGUUAAUACCCAAGAUGAGUGGGCGUUACUCGCAGAAUAAGCACCGGCUAACUCUGUGCCAGCAGCCGCGGUAA